rnacentral:rRNA from 1 species
CGGAAUGUGCAAACGUUAUUCGGAAUCACUGGGCUUAAAGAGUCCGUAGGCGGCUUGUUAGGUGAGGUGUGAAAUCCCCCGGCUCAACCGAGGAAUUGCGCUUCAAACCGGCAAGCUUGAGGAGGAUAGAGGUGGGCGGAACUGAUGGUGGAGCGGUGAAAUGCGUUGAUAUCAACAGGAACACCGGAGGCGAAAGCGGUCCACUGGGUCCUUUCUGACGCUGAGGGACGAAAGCUAGGGGAGCGAACGGGAUUAGAUACCCCGGUAGUCCUAGCCUUAAACGAUGAGCACUAGACCGAAGAAUCUCCACGAUUUUUGGUCGUAGCGAAAGCGUUAAGUGCUCCGCCUGGGGAGUAUGGUCGCAAGGCUG